rnacentral:lncRNA from 1 species
UUUCCACUACACCACGUCACCUUGCAAAUUAUUCCUCGCAGAUAUUCCCUGGGACCCAAACCUGAAGCCCCUGGGCUGCCCUUCCUCAGCGGGGCUGACUGGAGCAGUUACUGAUGGCACCAGCUUAAAGAGGAAAUGGAGAGUGUGUUUGCGUGUUUUCUGCCAUGAAAUAGGCAUCCUGAGACAAUCUCUUCAUAACUGAUGUAGCCCAGCCCUCUGUACUGAAAUUGCUGGACUCACACGAGGCCCAGAUGUGGUUUAAAGAGCAUGUGGGGGAAAUUUCCGUAGGAGCAACACAGAUCUCUCUAUUCAGAGUUUUUCUUGUGGGCAGCUUGCAUUUACUCAUUCUUUCAUUCCAGAAGUAUUUAUUUAGCCCCUGCUAUGUGCCAGGCAUUGUGAUAAUAGUUGGAAUGCAGAGGUGAAUUAAAGAGUAUGGGCUUGUCUAUAUAAAUAAAUAAAUAUAUAUGUAUAUGUGUGUGUAUA